rnacentral:rRNA from 1 species
CAUUAUUGAAUGAACUUGAUUGGAUUGUUGCUGGUCCUCUCGGGGGCAUGUGCACAUCUGNCAUCUUUAUCUUUCCACCUGUGCACAUCUUGUAGGUCUAAAUUUUUCUCGAGGCAACUCGUUUUGGGGGACUGCUGUUCAAUUACUGUCGGCUUCCCUUGGAUUUUUAGGCCUAUGUUUUCAUAUACACCUUAAGAACGUUAUAGAAUGUUAUUAUUGGGCCAUGUUGCCUAUAAACUAUAUACAACUUUC